GACGAACGCUGGCGGCGUGCUUAACACAUGCAAGUCGAACGAAGUGGCGAACGGGUGAGUAACGUGUAAUCAACCUGCCCUUCAGAGGGGGACAACAGUUGGAAACGACUGCUAAUACCGCAUACUGAAGGAGGGGAUUGCGGCUGAUUAGCUAGUUGGAGGGGAAACGGCCCACCAAGGCGAUGAUCGGUAGCCGGUCUUAGAGGAUUAACGGCCCCAUGUGGACUUAGACCCGGCCCCGACUCCUACGGGAGGCAGCAGUGGGGAAUCUUCCGCAAUGGACGGAAGUCUGACGGAGCAACGCCGCGGGAGUGAUGACGGCUUUCGGGUUGUAAAGCUCUGUUAGUCGGGACGCGGUACCGGAAUAGAAAGCCACGGCUAACUACGUGCCAGCAGCCGCGGUAAUAC
rnacentral:rRNA from 1 species